UGUGGGAGCUGGCUUGCCUGCGAUGGCGGUGGGCCAGUCAACCUUUCCUUGGCUGACCCGCCGCCAUCGCAGGCAAGCCAGCUCCCACA
rnacentral:misc_RNA from 1 species